rnacentral:Y_RNA from 1 species
UGUUGGUCCGAAGGUGGUGAGUUAUCUCACUUGAUUGUUCAUGGUCAGUUACAGAUGGAACUCCUUUUUCUACUGCUUUCCCCUUUCUCAGUAUUGCACUUGACUAAUCUUUA